rnacentral:rRNA from 1 species
AUCAAAAACAUUGCUUUCUGCGACAAUAUAGAAAGUUCAUCCUGCCCUGUGAGUUACGACUUUAACGGCCGCGGUAUCCUGACCGUGCAAAGGUAGCAUAAUCAUUUGCCUUUUAAUUGGAGGCUAGUAUGAAUGGACAAACGAAAGAUUAAUUGUCUCACAUCCAUAUAUAUAAAUUAGUAAUCAGGUGAAGAAACCUGAAUACCAUUAAAAGACACGAAGACCCUUUUGAGUUUAACUAUAAUUUAUUUUUCAUUAUUAUUGAUAAUAAAUAAAGACUAUAUAAAAUAAGUUUGAUUGGGGCAAUCAGGGAUUAUGUAACACAUCCUCUUUACAAAGAAUAAUCUCAAUAACUGAUCCACAAAAGUGAAUAAAGAAUAAUACUACCAUAGGGAUAACAGGCUAAUCUCCUCAGAGAGCUCAAAUUGACGAGGAGGUUUGGCACCUCGAUG